UACGUAGGGGGCUAGCGUUGUCCGGAAUCAUUGGGCGUAAAGAGCGUGUAGGCGGCCCGGUAAGUCCGCUGUGAAAGUCGGGGGCUCAACCCUCGAAUGCCGGUGGAUACUGUCGGGCUAGAGUGCGGAAGAGGCGAGUGGAAUUCCCGGUGUAGCGGUGAAAUGCGCAGAUAUCGGGAAGAACACCCGUGGCGAAGGCGGCUCUCUGGGACGGUACUGACGCUGAGACGCGAAAGCGUGGGGAGCGAACAGGAU
rnacentral:rRNA from 1 species